rnacentral:rRNA from 1 species
UACGUAGGGUGCAGGCGUUAAUCGGAAUUACUGGGCGUAAAGCGUGCGCAGGCGGCUUCCUAAGUCAGAUGUGAAAUCCCCGGGCUUAACCUGGGACUGCGUUUGAAACUGGGAGGCUGGAGUGCGGCAGAGGGGGUGGAAUUCCACGUGUAGCAGUGAAAUGCGUAGAUAUGUGGAGGAACACCGAUGGCGAAGGCAGCCCCCUGGGCCUGCACUGACGCCUCAUGCACGAAAGCGUGGGAGCAAACAGG